rnacentral:rRNA from 1 species
CCUACGGGAGGCAGCAGUGAGGAAUAUUGGUCAAUGGACGAGAGUCUGAACCAGCCAAGUAGCGUGAAGGAUGACUGCCCUAUGGGUUGUAAACUUCUUUUAUAUGGGAAUAAAACAGGGUAUGCAUACCCUCUUGUAUGUACCAUAUGAAUAAGGAUCGGCUAACUCCGUGCCAGCAGCCGCGGUAAUACGGAGGAUCCGAGCGUUCUCCGGAUUUAUUGGGUUUAAAGGGAGCGUAGGUGGAUUGUUAAGUCAGUUGUGAAAGUUUGCGGCUCAACCGUAAAAUUGCAGUUGAAACUGGCAGUCUUGAGUACAGUAGAGGUGGGCGGAAUUCGUGGUGUAGCGGUGAAAUGCUUAGAGAUCACGAAGAACUCCGAUUGCGAAGGCAGCUCACUGGACUGCAACUGACACUGAUGCUCGAAAGUGUGGGUAGCAAACAGGAUUAGAUACCCCUGUAGUC